GGGUUGUGAGGUUAAGCGACUAAGCGUACACGGUGGAUGCCCUGGCAGUCAGAGGCGAUGAAGGACGUGCUAAUCUGCGAUAAGCGUCGGUAAGGUGAUAUGAACCGUUAUAACCGGCGAUUUCCGAAUGGGGAAACCCAGUGUGUUUCGACACACUAUCAUUAACUGAAUCCAUAGGUUAAUGAGGCGAACCGGGGGAACUGAAACAUCUAAGUACCCCGAGGAAAAGAAAUCAACCGAGAUUCCCCCAGUAGCGGCGAGCGAACGGGGAGCAGCCCAGAGCCUGAAUCAGUGUGUGUGUUAGUGGAAGCGUCUGGAAAGGCGCGCGAUACAGGGUGACAGCCCCGUACACAAAAAUGCACAUACUGUGAGCUCGAUGAGUAGGGCGGGACACGUGGUAUCCUGUCUGAAUAUGGGGGGACCAUCCUCCAAGGCUAAAUACUCCUGACUGACCGAUAGUGAACCAGUACCGUGAGGGAAAGGCGAAAAGAACCCCGGCGAGGGGAGUGAAAAAGAACCUGAAACCGUGUACGUACAAGCAGUGGGAGCCUCUUUUAUGGGGUGACUGCGUACCUUUUGUAUAAUGGGUCAGCGACUUAUAUUCUGUAGCAAGGUUAACCGAAUAGGGGAGCCGAAGGGAAACCGAGUCUUAACCGGGCGUUAAGUUGCAGGGUAUAGACCCGAAACCCGGUGAUCUAGCCAUGGGCAGGUUGAAGGUUGGGUAACACUAACUGGAGGACCGAACCGACUAAUGUUGAAAAAUUAGCGGAUGACUUGUGGCUGGGGGUGAAAGGCCAAUCAAACCGGGAGAUAGCUGGUUCUCCCCGAAAGCUAUUUAGGUAGCGCCUCGUGAAUUCAUCUCCGGGGGUAGAGCACUGUUUCGGCAAGGGGGUCAUCCCGACUUACCAACCCGAUGCAAACUGCGAAUACCGGAGAAUGUUAUCACGGGAGACACACGGCGGGUGCUAACGUCCGUCGUGAAGAGGGAAACAACCCAGACCGCCAGCUAAGGUCCCAAAGUCAUGGUUAAGUGGGAAACGAUGUGGGAAGGCCCAGACAGCCAGGAUGUUGGCUUAGAAGCAGCCAUCAUUUAAAGAAAGCGUAAUAGCUCACUGGUCGAGUCGGCCUGCGCGGAAGAUGUAACGGGGCUAAACCAUGCACCGAAGCUGCGGCAGCGACACUGUGUGUUGUUGGGUAGGGGAGCGUUCUGUAAGCCUGUGAAGGUGUACUGUGAGGUAUGCUGGAGGUAUCAGAAGUGCGAAUGCUGACAUAAGUAACGAUAAAGCGGGUGAAAAGCCCGCUCGCCGGAAGACCAAGGGUUCCUGUCCAACGUUAAUCGGGGCAGGGUGAGUCGACCCCUAAGGCGAGGCCGAAAGGCGUAGUCGAUGGGAAACAGGUUAAUAUUCCUGUACUUGGUGUUACUGCGAAGGGGGGACGGAGAAGGCUAUGUUGGCCGGGCGACGGUUGUCCCGGUUUAAGCGUGUAGGCUGGUUUUCCAGGCAAAUCCGGAAAAUCAAGGCUGAGGCGUGAUGACGAGGCACUACGGUGCUGAAGCAACAAAUGCCCUGCUUCCAGGAAAAGCCUCUAAGCAUCAGGUAACAUCAAAUCGUACCCCAAACCGACACAGGUGGUCAGGUAGAGAAUACCAAGGCGCUUGAGAGAACUCGGGUGAAGGAACUAGGCAAAAUGGUGCCGUAACUUCGGGAGAAGGCACGCUGAUAUGUAGGUGAAGUCCCUCGCGGAUGGAGCUGAAAUCAGUCGAAGAUACCAGCUGGCUGCAACUGUUUAUUAAAAACACAGCACUGUGCAAACACGAAAGUGGACGUAUACGGUGUGACGCCUGCCCGGUGCCGGAAGGUUAAUUGAUGGGGUCAGCGCAAGCGAAGCUCUUGAUCGAAGCCCCGGUAAACGGCGGCCGUAACUAUAACGGUCCUAAGGUAGCGAAAUUCCUUGUCGGGUAAGUUCCGACCUGCACGAAUGGCGUAAUGAUGGCCAGGCUGUCUCCACCCGAGACUCAGUGAAAUUGAACUCGCUGUGAAGAUGCAGUGUACCCGCGGCAAGACGGAAAGACCCCGUGAACCUUUACUAUAGCUUGACACUGAACAUUGAGCCUUGAUGUGUAGGAUAGGUGGGAGGCUUUGAAGUGUGGACGCCAGUCUGCAUGGAGCCGACCUUGAAAUACCACCCUUUAAUGUUUGAUGUUCUAACGUGGACCCGUGAUCCGGGUUGCGGACAGUGUCUGGUGGGUAGUUUGACUGGGGCGGUCUCCUCCUAAAGAGUAACGGAGGAGCACGAAGGUUGGCUAAUCCUGGUCGGACAUCAGGAGGUUAGUGCAAUGGCAUAAGCCAGCUUGACUGCGAGCGUGACGGCGCGAGCAGGUGCGAAAGCAGGUCAUAGUGAUCCGGUGGUUCUGAAUGGAAGGGCCAUCGCUCAACGGAUAAAAGGUACUCCGGGGAUAACAGGCUGAUACCGCCCAAGAGUUCAUAUCGACGGCGGUGUUUGGCACCUCGAUGUCGGCUCAUCACAUCCUGGGGCUGAAGUAGGUCCCAAGGGUAUGGCUGUUCGCCAUUUAAAGUGGUACGCGAGCUGGGUUUAGAACGUCGUGAGACAGUUCGGUCCCUAUCUGCCGUGGGCGCUGGAGAACUGAGGGGGGCUGCUCCUAGUACGAGAGGACCGGAGUGGACGCAUCACUGGUGUUCGGGUUGUCAUGCCAAUGGCACUGCCCGGUAGCUAAAUGCGGAAGAGAUAAGUGCUGAAAGCAUCUAAGCACGAAACUUGCCCCGAGAUGAGUUCUCCCUGACCCUUUAAGGGUCCUGAAGGAACGUUGAAGACGACGACGUUGAUAGGCCGGGUGUGUAAGCGCAGCGAUGCGUUGAGCUAACCGGUACUAAUGAACCGUGAGGCUUAACCUUACAAUGCCGAAGGUGUU
rnacentral:rRNA from 1 species